GAUGGACCAACCUCUGGUGCACCAGUUGUCACGCCAGUGGCACAGCUGGGUAGCUAUGUUGGGACUGGAUAAACGCUGAAAGCAUCUAAGCGUGAAGCCAACCUCAAGAUGAGAUUUCCCAUAGCGUAAGCUAGUAAGACUCCUGGAAGAACACCAGGUUGAUAGGUCAGAGAUGUAAGCAUGGUAACAUGUUAAGUUGACUGAUACUAAUAAGUCGAGGGCUUGACCAA
rfam:Clostridium sp. IEH 97212 scaffold_85, whole genome shotgun sequence.